CUGUUCACCUGGCUCAAGUUCUGUGAUACACUCAGACUUUGAAUCAGUGGUAGUCAGUGCAUGACAGAACUUUGGCCCGG
ensembl:miRNA dre-mir-152 microRNA 152